CCUAGGGUGGCAGCAGUGGGGAAUAUUGGGCAAUGGGCGCAAGCCUGACCCAGCAACGCCGCGUGAAGGAAGAAGGUACAGAGUAUCGUAAACCUCUUUUGUCAGGGAACAAAGGCGGGGACGUGUCCCCGGAUGAGUGUACCUGGAGAAAAAGCAUCGGCUAACUCCGUUCCAGCAGCCGCGGUAAUACGGAGGAUGCGAGCGUUAUCCGGAUUUAUUGGGUUUAAAGGGUGCGCCGGCGGUCUGUUAAGUCAGCGGUAAAAGCCCGGGGCUCAACCCCGGCCCGCCGUUGAAACUGGCAGUCUCGAGUGGGAGAGAAGUAUGCGGAAUGCGCGGUGUAGCGGUGAAAUGCAUAGAUAUCGCGCAGAACUCCGAUUGCGAAGGCAGCAUGCCGGCUCCAAACUGACGCUGAGGCACGAAAGCGUGGGUAUCGAACAGGAUUAGAUACCCUUGUAGUC
rnacentral:rRNA from 1 species